CAUAAUUUUCUCUUGAGAGUUUCGUUUGUUUCUCUCUUAAUUUCUCUUAUUCUCUUCUCAAGAUUUUGGUGCUUUUUGGCUUUUAUGAAUUAUCUCUUUUCACCACUUUUCUAGGAAAAUGUCUACUGUCAUUGACACCACCUCCCAAGGCCGCUCCCCAAGAGGUCUAGAGCGGAAAUUGCUGCUGCCAAGGCAAAAAUAGAGAAAAGGUCUAUUGUGAUCGAGCGGGCAGUUUUAAGAUAGGAUGUCAUGGUUGCCCCCUUCGACUUCAUCAACCAAAUCUUCUAGGAGAAUAGUUGGCUGAGCAUGUUCAACUCUAACAAAGUUUUUCCUCGACUGGCACGAGAGUUCUACAUGAACAUGGCAAUAGCUCACUUUGCUACACACGGUCCAGUUCUAGAGACCACAGUUUGAGAGACAGAAAUCAAUAUGGAUUCUGCUCUCAUCAGCAGAGUGACCAGUAUCCCUCUGUCUCCUGCUCCAGGGAUUCCUUUCCCAGAUUUUGUGGAUCCUCCUUCCUAAGAAGACCUGAGGAUGUGCUUUGAUCCUCAAGAAGCUUAAGUAUGGACUGAAGACAUGAAGUCUUUUCCUAUUGGCUGGGUGCAAUCUCCUCAUAGGCUUCUGGCUCGCAUUAUGAUGCAGAAUCUAUGGCCGCUCUCCCACAACAGUAAUCUCACUCUCCACAGAGCCAGAUUUCUUUAUGCCAUCAUCACAAGAGUCCCUCUCUGCAUGUGCAAGCACAUCGUCAUGACAAUGAUAGAGAUGCAGGAGGACAAUCAGGUGGCCCUGCCAUAUGGAGGAUUGGUCACUAGGAUCAUCAAGAGGUUUGUAUCAGACAUUCCAGCAUAGGAGCUUGAAGCUACACCAGAAGGAGCUUUCGGAAAGCAUACGGUCAUAAAGUCAAAUGCUCAGCUCCAAAGGCACAUGGACCCAGAAGAGCAAGUUCAUCCAGCUCUGCCAGUUCAGCCGCUUCUUCUUCACAGGCGACCCACCCACCCCAGUGAUGCAGUUAUGAGAGCAUUGGACUGGAUUACUGAUCGGCUACAAUCCAUGGACUCUUGGUGGAAUGAGCAGUUCCAGACCAUGGAUAUCAGAUUGACUGAGCAUUUUCGGUUGGUUGACGAGCGGUUCCAAGUGGUAGAAGCCAAGGUGGAGCAAGUCAAUAUAAACGUAGAAGGUUCUCUACGCUAUCUGGCACCUAAAGAUCAGGAGAAUUAAGUGCUAUGUCACUUAUUUCAUUUUUAUCACCUGUUUGAUAAACUAUUUAUUUUUGACUGGGCUACUUUUGAUGAACACUGAUGUUUGUUGUUCAUUACUUUAAACCUUAGUGGUUUAUUUUGUUGGCUUUUAUUAUUCUGUUUACCCUUUGCCCUUUCGAGACAAAAAGGUGGGAGUAAGUUUUAUUUUUGGUUAUAA